rnacentral:rRNA from 1 species
UGAUCCAGAGUACCACGAGACACGUGAAACCUUGUGGGAAGCAGGGAGGACCACCUCCCAAGGCUAAAUACUACCUGAUGACCGAUAGUGAAGCAGUACCGUGAGGGAAAGGUGAAAAGAACCCCGGGAGGGGAGUGAAAUAGAACCUGAAACCGUGUGCCUACAACCGGUCAAAGCCCCUUAUGAGGGUGAUGACGUGCUUUUUGUAGAACGAGCCAACGAGUUACGGUAUGUAGCAAGGUUAAGUACUUAAGGUACGGAGCCGAAGGGAAACCGAGUCUUAAUAGGGCGACUAGUUGCAUGCCGUAGACCCGAAACCGGGUGACCUAUCCAUGGCCAGGUUGAAGCGAGGGUAAAACCUCGUGGAGGACCGAACCACGUUGCUGUUGAAAAAGCAUGGGAUGAGCUGUGGAUAGCGGAGAAAUUCCAAUCGAACUCGGAGAUAGCUGGUUCUCCCCGAAAUAGCUUUAGGGCUAGCGUCGGAUAUGUGUAGUGGAGGUAGAGCACUGAAUGGGCUAGGGGGCAUAUCGCUUACCGAACCUUAUCAAACUCCGAAUGCCAUAUACAUUUAGUCCGGCAGUCAGACUACGAAUGAUAAGAUCCGUGGUCAAAAGGGAAACAGCCCAGAUCGUCAGCUAAGGUCCCAAAGUGUAAGUUAAGUGGAAAAGGAUGUGGGAUUUCUAAGACAACUAGGAUGUUGGCUUAGAAGCAGCCACUCAUUUAAAGAGUGCGUAAUAGCUCACUAGUCGAGAGAUCCUGCGCCGAAAAUGUCCGGGGCUAAAACUUACCACCGAAGCUACGGGCUUGCGUAAGCAAGCGGUAGGGGAGCGUCGUAAUCGGGCUGAAGUCGUACCGUAAGGAGCGGUGGACUGAUUACGAGUGAGAAUGUUGGCAUUAGUAGCGAGAUGUAGGUGAGAAUCCUACAGGCCCAUCGUUAUUAUCGAGGGUGUGACGGAGAAGGAUAGUGUGUGCUAGCGAUUGGAAAUGCUAGUCUAAGCGUUUAGGCAGUUACGGUAGGCAAAUCCGCUGUAACGUUAAUGCUGAGGCGUGAUGGGGAAGGCCCUUGAGGCUGAAGUACAUGAUUCCAUGCUUCCAAGAAAAGCAUCUAGAGAGAGAAGUAGUGCCCGUACCGCAAACCGACACAGGUAGAUGAGGAGAGAAUCCUAAGGCCGGCGGAAGAAUUGCAGUUAAGGAACUAGGCAAAUUGACCCCGUAAGUUAGCGAGAAGGGGUGCCUGCGAGAGCAGGCCGCAGAGAAUAGGCCCAAGCAACUGUUUAGCAAAAACACAGGUCUCUGCUAAAGCGCAAGCUGAUGUAUAGGGGCUGACGCCUGCCCGGUGCUGGAAGGUUAAGGGGAACACUUAGCGCAAGCGAAGGUGUGAACUUAAGCCCCAGUAAACGGCGGCCGUAACUAUAACGGUCCUAAGGUAGCGAAAUUCCUUGUCAGGUAAGUUCUGACCCGCACGAAUGGCGUAAU